rnacentral:lncRNA from 1 species
CCUCCCUUCUAGAGCCCCCGGUUCCUUAGAAACCAGGCGGCGUGUUCACGGUGUCGGGACGCUAGAUUACGGUGGCUGCUCAAGCCCGCUAGUCUCCUUUAAGGCGGACGGGUGGCCUCCGAAACCCGUCCCGACCCAUGGUCUCCGGUGCGGCGCGGAGCGGGCAAUGCCAGCGUGCCAGUACCAAGGAUCGAACUCAGGACCUUGCAUUUGCGAACCAGGGAACGAACUCGGGACCUUGCGCUUUCGAGGCAGGCAGUGGAACCACUAAGCUAAAUCCCUGGCCCUCCUACCAUUUUGGACCCAUUCUGCACUGAAGAAAUGCUUGGGUAGAUGUUUGGACUGCUCUGGUGAAAGAGGAGUAUCUUCCAGUUACAAGCUGGCUGUGUGUGUGUGAGUGUGAGCUCCACCCCCAGCCACUUUUGUUUUUCUUUAGCAAACUAGCUUUUUCAUUGACCUUGGGCAACUGUGUUUUUUUCCUUUCUUUCUCUUCCUGGACUACCAAUGUCAGUCUUUCUAUGAUAAUUCAGCUCCAGGGUAUAGAUGAUGCCUUUCCCAUAUAGAACUCAAAGUGUGUUACAGAAACUGUGUAUCAUUUACCACUUUAAGUAAGGCUGACUUAUAUCCUCCUGGAUGCUGUCACAGUACCAUGAUUGUUUUAUCUCUCCUGCUAGACUAUACAAUCUAUCUAAGCAAAAGCUGUAACUGUUUUGCUCACCAAAAUAUCCUGUGCUUUGUCUAGUGCUGGCCCAUAACAGGUAUUUAAUAAAUGUAUAUUAGUGAGUCUA